UGUCGUAAUCCUUCUGUAUGCCAGUUGUUGUACGUGCUCAGGGAAACACUUCAGAGGGUUAAUGUUGACAAGUCUUGAAUAAAGGUCAGACCUCCACUAGAACUGUUUGGUUGUGUGGUCUGUUUUUAGUUCAGAUCUAUCACACACACACACACACACACACACGUCUCACCUAAACACGCCGCGGCCCCCACCAUGGCGUAGAGCCCGGGAGUGAUGCAGUCUUGUCCCGGUGAGCACCACCCUUUGAAGAUGAACGAGUCGUGGUUGUAGUAGGCCAGCUGCUCCAUGCCGACGCCGAGCAGCCUGCCAGCGAUCGCUCCGACAGCCAUGCUGGGGAUGAAGAGACCCGAGGGAACCUGGAG